GCCAAAGUGGUAUAGUGGUUUGAGUGUUGGACUAUGACUUUGGAAACCAGGGUUCGAUUCCCAGCAUGGACA